rnacentral:rRNA from 1 species
AGAGUUUGAUCAUGGCUCAGAUUGAACGCUGGCGGCAUGCCUUACACAUGCAAGUCGAACGGUAACAGGUCUUCGGAUGCUGACGAGUGGCGAACGGGUGAGUAAUACAUCGGAACGUGCCCGAUCGUGGGGGAUAACGCAGCGAAAGCUGUGCUAAUACCGCAUACGAUCUACGGAUGAAAGCGGGGGAUCGCAAGACCUCGCGCGGACGGAGCGGCCGAUGGCAGAUUAGGUAGUUGGUGGGAUAAAAGCUUACCAAGCCGACGAUCUGUAGCUGGUCUGAGAGGACGACCAGCCACACUGGGACUGAGACACGGCCCAGACUCCUACGGGAGGCAGCAGUGGGGAAUUUUGGACAAUGGGCGCAAGCCUGAUCCAGCCAUGCCGCGUGCAGGAUGAAGGCCUUCGGGUUGUAAACUGCUUUUGUACGGAACGAAAAAGCUCUCUCUAAUACAGGGGGUGAAUGACGGUACCGUAAGAAUAAGCACCGGCUAACUACG